AGCAGCCGCGGUAAUUCCAGCUCCAAUAGCGUAUAUUAAAGUUGCUGCAGUUAAAAGCUCGUAGUUGAAUUUCGGGAUCAAUAUGUCGGUCGUGCCUCGGUACGCACUGGUUUAUUGGUUUCUCCCUUCUGACGAACCAUGAUGUCAUUAAUUUGGUGUCUUGGGAAAUCAGGACUGUUACUUUGAAAAAUUAGAGUGUUUAAAGCAGGCUCACGCUUGAAUACAUUAGCAUGGAAUAAUGAAAUAGGACGUUUGAUUCUAUUUUGUUGGUUUCUAGGAUCGACGUAAUGAUUAAUAGGGAUAGUUGGGGGCAUUAGUAUCCAAUUGUCAGAGGUGAAAUUCUUGGAUUUAUUGAAGACUAA
rnacentral:rRNA from 1 species